AUUGAACGCUGGCGGCAGGCUUAACACAUGCAAGUCGAGCGGGGGAAGGUAGCUUGCUACCGGACCUAGCGGCGGACGGGUGAGUAAUGCUUAGGAAUCUGCCUAUUAGUGGGGGACAACAUCUCGAAAGGGAUGCUAAUACCGCAUACGUCCUACGGGAGAAAGCAGGGGAUCUUCGGACCUUGCGCUAAUAGAUGAGCCUAAGUCGGAUUAGCUAGUUGGUGGGGUAAAGGCCUACCAAGGCGUCGAUCUGUAGCGGGUCUGAGAGGAUGAUCCGCCACACUGGGACUGAGACACGGGCCAGACUCCUGCGGGAGGCAGCAGUGGGGAAUAUUGGACAAUGGGGGGAACCCUGAUCCAGCCAUGCCGCGUGUGUGAAGAAGGCCUUAUGGUUGUAAAGCACUUUAAGCGAGGAGGAGGCUACUCUAGUUAAUACCUAGGGAUAGUGGACGUUGCUCGCAGAAUAAGCACCGGCUAACUCUGUGACAGCCGCCGCCGUAA
rnacentral:rRNA from 1 species